AUUGAACGCUGGCGGCAUGCCUUACACAUGCAAGUCGAACGGUAACAGGUCUUCGGAUGCUGACGAGUGGCGAACGAGUGAGUAAUACAUCGGAACGUGCCCGAUCGUGGGGGAUAACGAAGCGAAAGCUUUGCUAAUACCGCAUAAGAUCUACGGAUGAAAGCAGGGGACCGCAAGGCCUUGCGUGAACGGAGCGGCCGAUGGCAGAUUAGGAAGUUGGUGGGAGAAAAGCGUACCAAGCAGACGAUCUGUAGCCGGUCUGAGAGGACGACCAGCCAACCUGGUACUGGGACACGGCCCAGACUACUACUGGAGGCAGCAGUGGGGAAUUUUUGACAAUGGGCGAAAGCCUGAUCCAGCCAUGCCGCGUGCAGGAUGAAGUCCUUCGGGUUGUAAACUGCUUUUGUACGGAACGAAAAGACUCUUUCUAAUAAAGAGGGUCCAUGACGGUACCGUAAGAAUAAGCACCGGCUAACUACGUGCCAGCAGCCGCAGUAA
rnacentral:rRNA from 1 species